GCGGUCAGAGGGCCGAGGCCUGGGGGCGAGCUGGGGUCGUGCAGUACAGCCUCUUUCCGGCAAAUCACGCGAGAUUUCGUUCACCCGGGCUCCACAGGGAGUAUUUUAUACAGAAAUCUUGUGAAACCACUGCCCAACCAGAGCAAUGAUUGUUCAAAGAGUGGUAUUGAAUUCUCGACCUGGAAAAAAUGGUAAUCCAGUGGCAGAGAAUUUCCGAAUGGAAGAAGUCUAUUUACCAGAUAAUAUUAAUGAAGGACAAGUACAAGUUAGAACUCUUUAUCUUUCUGUGGAUCCUUACAUGCUAUUAAAGACGUCACUACUGCGGCAAGCUGAGUGAAGGACUGUGGACUUCAUUUUAUUAAUUUUUAACUUUUUUGAAAUGAGAUCUCUAUUGCUGAGGCUGAGUGCAGUGGUGUGAAUACAGCUCACUGCAGCCUCGACCUCCUGGGCUCAAGCAGUCCUCCCAUCUCAGCUUCCCAACUAGCAGGGACCACAGGUAUGCACCACCACACCCGGCUAAUUUUUUUGUUUUUUGUAGAGAUGGGGUCUUGCCAUGUUGCCCAGGUUGGUCUUGAACUCCUGGACUCAAGCAAUACUCUUAUCUUGGCCUCCAAAGUGCUGAGAUUUCAGGUGUGAGCCACUACAUCUGUCUCCAUAUACUUAAAAAAUUUAACAGUUUUAUUAUAUUCACACACUAUACAAUUUACUCACUUAAAGAGUACAACUAAAUUAUUUUUAGUAUAUUCACGGAAUUCUGCAACUGUCAUUACAAUCAGUUUUACAACAUUUUCAUCCCCAGAAGAAAC
rnacentral:lncRNA from 1 species